rnacentral:rRNA from 1 species
UACGGAGGGGGCUAGCGUUGUUCGGAAUUACUGGGCGUAAAGCGCACGUAGGCGGCUUUGUAAGUUAGAGGUGAAAGCCCGGGGCUCAACCCCGGAAUUGCCUUUAAGACUGCAUCGCUAGAAUUGUGGAGAGGUAAGUGGAAUUCCGAGUGUAGAGGUGAAAUUCGUAGAUAUUCGGAAGAACACCAGUGGCGAAGGCGACUUACUGGACACAUAUUGACGCUGAGGUGCGAAAGCGUGGGGGGCAAACAGG